AACCCUGAUUUGAUAACUUUAGAUUUUAACAUUUUUAUGAUUAAUAUGAGAUGUCAAUUUGUUGGCUUGUGUGUUCUUACUUGCCAACUAUUGCUCCUUCAUGUCGAAGUUAAAUAUAGCCAUGGGAACCUCAUUGUUCUACAGGUGGCCAAUAUAAGAGCUAUUUUUACCAGAUAACAUUUUAAGACAAGUAAACUGUAAUUUUGUAUAACGUUUGAUAUAAGUGCAUGUCAUAUGUGCUAACCUUUGCAUGCGUAAAUGGAGUGAUGUUGACUGGAACUAGGAAUCUACCCUUGUUUGCAUCAAAUAAUUGUUGAUGCCUUGAAGAUAAUGCCUGAAUGGGCUGAGUUUGGAAUAUCCAAAUUCAAAUUGACAUGAACAGUUAUUCUGAACCUUGUUAAACAUUCAUUUUGGGCAAAUUGGUACUUAGAUUUCAGAUGUUGGCACUUUGCUUUAAGAUACUGACACCUUGUUUGCCUUGGCAUUGCGUUUGUCUUAACUUCUGCUAUGCUAUUUGAUUGUACUACUAGUCUUCUACUGGUGCCUUUGAAUGAUAGUUAUAUUUGCAAUUCCUCAAGAAAGGCAGCAACAAGUUGAAGUUCAUUUCAGAUUUCACAAAAGAUUUAAAAUGGUUGACAUUUAUUCACUUCAUCAUUCUGAAACUUUAAAUGUCAAAGUCUAUUGCUCUUGUCUAGCCCAAGGUGUUUGCAUGGUAAAUAUGGUUCAAUGUGCUCUCUUUAAUCUGUCUCACUGAAAAUUUUUCAUGAUAACGUAGUUCUUAGUUAUUGAGAUAGCUACUUCUUAAAUAGAAUUAGCUUAUGCAAUAUCCUGCACAAAGCUUGAAUUAAAGGGUAUGAAAAUUACAACUGCUUUACUUGCUUAGGUGGUUGUAAAUUUAAGGCAUUAUUUGCUCUCUGUUUCUUCUUAUAUUUUUAUUGGAACUUGUUAUAGUGGGUCUAGCUCAUUAUAACUGCAGCGUGUUGUUCAAAGUCGGGCUAGAAGAUCCAUGAGGAUCUUUGUCUUGCACUCUCCUGUAUUAUGGAUUAGUGUAGUCAGUGCAGAUGCCACUAAAAUAAAGCGUGUUGUUUCAGAAUUUGUCCAGGUAAGUAAAAGAAAUGAGAAAAACAUGAUCAACCUUUUUGUUUGUUGAAAAAGUGUUACUUACCCCAUGUGAAUUGUGGUGAAGUAAGGUGAGACAAAGUAGAAAGUGAUGCUUAAGCCUCUAGGUAAAGGAAAAGAAAGAACCAUGAGAAGGUUGUUAAGCUGGAUAAAUGUGGAGUGCUGUUUUGGGACUGCUAUCACUUCUAGAGCUUGCUAGAAAUAAGGCCCAGAUGAGAGUAAAGGGAAUUGCUAGCAAGAGAACCAGGGUAUAGCCAGUUCUUAGAGCAUGAACCUCUGGGUCAUAAGCCCUAAGUAGAAAUAGAUGCUGCCUUUUUUGAUAUAAAAGGUUAAUGAAGUUAUUUUUGAAGUCAUAAAAAAUGAACAAUCACAUACAUCAUGAUAUUUUUCGAGUUCCAUGUAAAGCAAAUCUGUUUUUGCAAUUUCAUUUGCUAUCUACUGGGAUAUUAAUAUCUUGAGAUAUCAGUUGGCUAAAAAGUCCGUUAAUUUUAACCAUUUCUGAAGUUCAUAUGGAGUUUUAAUAAAUGUUAUUUUCUCAUGUGGGUGACAGAUGCAAGCAUUGUUUAGGAUUGGCAA
rnacentral:misc_RNA from 1 species